rnacentral:tRNA from 1 species
GGUGGCUCAGUGCUAGAGCACUUGCCUUGCAUGCAUGAAGCCCUGGGUUUGAUUCCUCAGCACCA